rnacentral:rRNA from 1 species
GACGUAGGGCGCGAGCGUUGUCCGGAUUUAUUGGGCGUAAAGAGCUCGUAGGCGGCUUGUCGCGUCGACCGUGAAAACUCGCAGCUCAACUGCGAGCCUGCGGUCGAUACGGGCAGGCUAGAGUUCGGUAGGGGAGACUGGAAUUCCUGGUGUAGCGGUGAAAUGCGCAGAUAUCAGGAGGAACACCGGUGGUGUAGACGGCUUUCUGGACCGUAACUGACGCUGAGACACGAAAGCGUGGGUAGCAAACAGG